rnacentral:rRNA from 1 species
GAUGAACGCUGGCGGCGUGCCUAACACAUGCAAGUCGAACGGAGAUUACGGACGGAAGUUUUCGGAUGGAAGCCUGUAAUUCUUAGUGGCGGACGGGUGAGUAACGCGUGGGCAACCUGCCCUAUACAGGGGGAUAGCAGCUGGAAACGGCUGGUAAGACCGCAUAAGUCGGUUAAAUCGCAUGAUUUGAUCGGGAAAUGAGCAAUCAGGUAUAGGAUGGGCCCGCGUCCGAUUAGCCAGUUGGCAGGGUAAAAGCCUACCAAAGCGACGAUCGGUAGCCGGACUGAGAGGUCGGACGGCCACAUUGGGACUGAGACACGGCCCAAACUCCUACGGGAGGCAGCAGUGGGGGAUAUUGCACAAUGGAGGAAACUCUGAUGCAGCGACGCCGCGUGAGUGAAGAAGUAUUUCGGUAUGUAAAGCUCUAUCAGCAGGGAAGAUGAUGACGUACCUGACUAAAGAAGCCC